AAGCCACGCAUUAAGGCCAUCGCUAACCCUGCUCCGCGGUUAAAAAAUAUCUACCCACAACGCACGCACGAUCUCUCACCCCCCGCAUCCUCCCGCACGGGCCGUUCUUCCACGCCCGCACGACCUCUCGCCAUCUCCUCCUCCCGCACGGGCCAUUCGCCGCCCCGCCGUUCCUCCCGCGGUCGUCAGCCGCAGCCAGAGCCACACCUCCCCGCCGCUCAGCUUGGCGGAGCCGCCGGAGCCACCCCCUUCGCCGCCAUCCAGUAGCUGGCAACCGGCGCGCUCCCACGUCGCCGUCGGUGGGCCGCCGCAAGACCGUCGUCGGCCGCGUCCGUACCCUCAUCCAUCUGCAUAGCCCCGGCUUCGUCUCCUCCGCGCCGAGGCUGUACGCGCCCUUGAUUUGGACGGCAGUACCACCGGGGCGCAUCACCUUCUUGCGCCUCCCACAUCGGCCUCCAUCUCCAUGGUCGCAAGGGCUUGCCGGCAACACCUGAUCUUUGAUCUGGUUUGUAUGCAUGCGUGUGUGUGAUUAGUUUCAGCGGCCACAGGUCGUUGUAGUAAGAUGAUGCAUCACGCAUUGAAUGGAACCAUAAGGCUAGGAGCACGUGCACACACUGGCGUCGGCGGCACGGUGUCAAGCUGCGGAGAAGGCAUCCGGCGAGGCGGCCACCAGGUGGAUAAGUGGAUGGCACAUGUGUAUAUUGCUGUUGAGGGAUUAUAUUCGACAUUUUAUUUUUAUCCCAACACUAGAUUGAAGUGGUGAUUUACAAAGGAUUUUUAGUGGGGCACAAGUGUAGAUUGAUAAAAAAGCAUGCUGAAUAGUGAAGUAGUACCAUGCUAGAAUUACUUGGCUACAUUUUUUUUGUUUCUUUGAUGCAAUGUAAUCUUUGUUGUUCCUGUUAUUAGUGAAUUUUCUAGAACAUCGGGUAAGCACUAUGCUAAAAAAAAGCUAUUCUAGAAAAGGAUGAGAAGAGCUAUUCCAGAAAAGGAUGAGAAGAGCCUCAAGGUGUUGGUUCAUGAUGGGUCGUCCUUAAAAAUCUUGACAAUUACCCUUGACACAACACAUGGGAUGUGCUCAAUCCUACUUAUUUUUGUCUAUUAUUUUAUAUAUGUUUUUCACCUCAGAGAUUUUAUUAAAUUUCAGUUGGGUUAUAACAAGAGAUGCAAAUAAAGAACUUUAUUAUGGGUUUUCAUAAAACAAAUAUGUACUUCCAAAUACCUUGAAGGUUAUUGAUUAUAUGCAGCAAGGCCAUUUGAUUAAGUUGGCUCUUUUUUGACACCAAUUUAUAUGCAAGCUAUUUGAAUAUAUAUUUGCGAAAGAAAGUACAGAAGUGUGUUUGGGUGAGGCCAAGAUUAAACAUCUCACAUUUUGUUUCAGAAAUCAUCUCUACUUAAGUCCAAGAGGUCAUCAGGUGAUGAGAUGGAUGAACUCCCAGUUUGCAUUUAUUGGGAGCUAUGAAACUGGUAAAAUGAUUAUGGUUCCCGCAACUCCUAAGCCUAUUACAUUGGAACUUGGUGAAGAAGACCUAUUCUGUUUGAGUAUGUUGACAUUGACAAAAGGCAGCAAAGGGAACAAGUAUUGAAGGGGGCAUAAAGAACUAUGGGAGAUAUUCCAAUCCUUCAAUGAGGCGGGGUCGACCGAUUUUGACAUGGGAGGAGUCCGUUAAGAGAGACCUGAAGGAUUGGAAUAUCGACAAAGAGCUAGCUA